UGCAUGUCUAAGUAUAAGCACUUUAUACUGUGAAACUGCGAAUGGCUCAUUAAAUCAGUUAUCGUUUAUUUGAUAGUACCUUACUACAUGGAUACCUGUGGUAAUUCUAGAGCUAAUACAUGCUAAAAACCCCGACUUCGGAAGGGGUGUAUUUAUUAGAUAAAAAACCAAUGCCCUUCGGGGCUCCUUGGUGAUUCAUAAUAACUUAACGAAUCGCAUGGCCUUGCGCCGGCGAUGGUUCAUUCAAAUUUCUGCCCUAUCAACUUUCGAUGGUAGGAUAGUGGCCUACCAUGGUGGCAACGGGUAACGGGGAAUUAGGGUUCGAUUCCGGAGAGGGAGCCUGAGAAACGGCUACCACAUCCAAGGAAGGCAGCAGGCGCGCAAAUUACCCAAUCCCGACACGGGGAGGUAGUGACAAUAAAUACUGAUACGGGGCUCUUUCGGGUCUCGUAAUUGGAAUGAGUACAAUCUAAAUCCCUUACCGAGGAACAAUUGGAGGGCAAGUCUGGUGCCAGCAGCCGCGGUAAUUCCAGCUCCAAUAGCGUAUAUUAAAGUUGUUGCAGUUAAAAAGCUCGUAGUUGAACCUUGGGUCUGGCUGGCCGGUCCGCCUCACCGCGAGUACUGGUCCGGCUGGACCUUUCCUUCUGGGGAAUCCCAUGGCCUUCACUGGCUGUGGGGGGAACCAGGACUUUUACUGUGAAAAAAUUAGAGUGUUCAAAGCAGGCCUUUGCUCGAAUACAUUAGCAUGGAAAUAAUAGAAUAGGACGUGCGGUUCUAUUUUGUUGGUUUC
rnacentral:rRNA from 1 species